GAUGAACGCUGGCGGCGUGCCUAAUACAUGCAAGUCGAGCGAACGGACGAGAAGCUUGCUUCUCUGAUGUUAGCGGCGGACGGGUGAGUAACACGUGGAUAACCUACCUAUAAGACUGGGAUAACUUCGGGAAACCGGAGCUAAUACCGGAUGAUAUUUUGAACCGCAUGGUUCAAAAGUGAAAGACGGUCUUGCUGUCACUUAUAGAUGGAUCCGCGCUGCAUUAGCUAGUUGGUAAGGUAACGGCUUACCAAGGCAACGAUGCAUAGCCGACCUGAGAGGGUGACCCGCCACCCUGGAACUGAGACACGGUCCAGACUCCUACGGGAGGCAGCAGUAGGGAAUCUGCCGCAAUGGGCGACAGCCUGACGGAGCAACGCCGCGUGAGUGAUGAAGGUCUUCGGAUCGUAAAACUCUGUUAUUAGGGAAGAACAUAUGUGUAAGUAACUGUGCACAUCUUGACGGUACCUAAUCAGAAAGCCACGGCUAACUCCGUG
rnacentral:rRNA from 1 species